AUGGAAUGCGGCGUGCUUACCAUGCAAGUCGAACGAGAAAAUCCUGGCUUGCCAGGAUGAGUAAAGUGGCGCACGGGUGAGUAACACGUGAGUAAUCUGCCCCUAAGUUAGGAAUAACAUUGCGAAAGCGAUGCUAAUACCUGGUAAGCCCACGACUUCUUCGGUAGAUGUGGGAAAAGGUGGCCUCUGACAUAAGCUAUCACUUAGGGAUGAGCUCGCGGACCAUUAGCUUGUUGGUAGGGUAAUGGCCUACCAAGGCGAUGAUGGUUAGCUGGCCUGAGAGGGUGGCCAGCCACACUGGAACUGAGACACGGUCCAGACUCCUACGGGAGGCAGCAGUGGGGAAUCUUGCGCAAUGGGGGAAACCCUGACGCAGCAACGCCGCGUGAGUGACGAAGGCCUUCGGGUCGUAAAGCUCUGUCAGAUGGAAAGAAUUAGUUCGCUGAAAAUAUUGGCGAGUGAUGACGGUACCAUCAGAGGAAGCACCGGCUAACUCCGUGCCAGCAGCCGCGGUAAUACGGAGGGUGCAAGCGUUGUUCGGAAUUAUUGGGCGUAAAGCGCGUGUAGGCGGGAAGGCAGGUCAGGUGUGAAAUCCCUUGGCUUAACCAAGGAACUGCAUCUGAAACCAUUUUCCUCGAGUACGAUAGGGGAGGGCGGAAUUCCCAGUGUAGAGGUGAAAUUCAUAGAUAUUGGGAGGAACACCAGUGGCGAAGGCGACCCUCUGGAUCGAUACUGACGCUGAGACGCGAAAGCGUGGGUAGCAAACAGGAUUAGAUACCCUGGUAGUCCACGCUGUAAACGAUGUGCACUAGGUGUUGGAGGUACUUAAUCCUCCAGUGCCGCAGCUAACGCAUUAAGUGCACCGCCUGGGGAAUACGGCCGCAAGGUUAAAACUCAAAGGAAUUGACGGGGCCCGCACAAGCGGUGGAGUAUGUGGUUUAAUUCGACGCAACGCGCAAAACCUUACCUGGGCUUGACAUGCUGGGAUUAGUUCCGAGAAAUCAGAGCGAUUGCUUCGGCGUACAGCACAGGUGCUGCAUGCUGUCGUCAGCUCGUGUCGUGAGAUGUGGGUAGUCCGCACGAGCACACCCUACAUAGUGCAUCAUUCAGUGGGCACUCUAUUGAACUGCGUUCACGGAAGAGGUGAGAUGACGUCAGUCCUCAUGGCCUUAUGGC
rnacentral:rRNA from 1 species